GUUGCAAACACUAUGGAUGGAAGUUUAGGGCACGGCAAUACCGCAAGCAGCGCACCACACAGGCACGACACAGUACCACGUACCAGCCCAGCACAACGCCCACUGCCUUAUCCAGAUCUCGACCUCCCUCUCCCACGAGAAAGCAGUGACAGGCGACAGCGACGAGCUGGAGCUUGGUGGUGCAGAUGGCAGCGGAGCUUGCGGUGCGGCCGCGCUGGACUGGGACGUUCAUCACCUCCCAUGCCCGAUUGACUCCCUCGGCUCGGUCCGCACCCCUUCCUCUGUUUCUAAGUCGGUCUGAUUCAUGUCGAUCUCGCCUGCUCAGAGGAUGAGCAUGCGAGCUGCUUCAUGAUUUGCAGUCUGUCUCGCCUGCUCGCUGUCGAGGUCGCAACUUACCUGCCGUGGAAGAUCUCCUCUACAUCGACAUACGUGAGAAAAUGAGGUCACCUCUCGCAAUUCAGGGAUGGGAGUAUGAAUAUGAGAAACACCUCGCUGACUUCUCAUGUGCUCGAGGUCGAGGAUGAAGAUUAACUCGAGC